rnacentral:rRNA from 1 species
CCUACGGGGGGCAGCAGUGAGGAAUAUUGGUCAAUGGCCGUAAGGCUGAACCAGCCAAGUCGCGUGAAGGAAGAAGGAUCUAUGGUUUGUAAACUUCUUUUAUAGGGGAAUAAAGGUAUCCACGUGUGGAUAUUUGCAUAUACCCUAUGAAUAAGCAUCGGCUAACUCCGUGCCAGCAGCCGCGGUAAUACGGAGGAUGCGAGCGUUAUCCGGAUUUAUCGGGUUUAAAGGGUGCGUAGGUUGUGUUUUAAGUCAGCGGUGAAAGUUUGUGGCUCAACCAUAAAAUUGCCGUUGAAACUGGAAGACUUGAGUGUGUUUGAGGUAGGCGGAAUGCGUGGUGUAGCGGUGAAAUGCAUAGAUAUCACGCAGAACUCCGAUUGCGAAGGCAGCUUACUAAGCCAUAACUGACACUGAAGCACGAAAGCGUGGGGAUCAAACAGGAUUAGAUACCCCUGUAGUC